rnacentral:rRNA from 1 species
UACGAAGGGGGCUAGCGUUGCUCGGAAUCACUGGGCGUAAAGGGCGCGUAGGCGGCCAUUCAAGUCGGGGGUGAAAGCCUGUGGCUCAACCACAGAAUUGCCUUCGAUACUGUUUGGCUUGAGUUUGGUAGAGGUUGGUGGAACUGCGAGUGUAGAGGUGAAAUUCGUAGAUAUUCGCAAGAACACCAGUGGCGAAGGCGGCCAACUGGACGAAUACUGACGCUGAGACUCGAAAGCGUGGGGAGCAAACAGG